UCCUAAACGGGGCUGGCUGAAAUGGGAAAGUAAAUUCCAAUUUCCUAAACGGGAAUGCCCCAAACGGGAAAGUAAAUUCGAAUUUCCUAAAGGAGAACACCCUGAACAGGAAAGUAAAUUUCAGUUUCCUAAAUGAAAACGUUAUGAAUAAAAAAGAAACUUCAUCCAUGACUACUUUCCUAAAUAGGACUAUUCCAAAAAGUG
rnacentral:lncRNA from 1 species